GACGAACGCUGGCGGCGUGCUUAACACAUGCAAGUCGAACGGAAAGGCCCUGCUUUUGUGGGGUGCUCGAGUGGCGAACGGGUGAGUAACACGUGAGUAACCUGCCCUUGACUUUGGGAUAACUUCAGGAAACUGGGGCUAAUACCGGAUAGGAGCUCCUGCUGCAUGGUGGGGGUUGGAAAGUUUCGGCGGUUGGGGAUGGACUCGCGGCUUAUCAGCUUGUUGGUGGGGUAGUGGCUUACCAAGGCUUUGACGGGUAGCCGGCCUGAGAGGGUGACCGGCCACAUUGGGACUGAGAUACGGCCCAGACUCCUACGGGAGGCAGCAGUGGGGAAUAUUGCACAAUGGGCGGAAGCCUGAUGCAGCAACGCCGCGUGCGGGAUGACGGCCUUCGGGUUGUAAACCGCUUUCGCCUGUGACGAAGCGUGAGUGACGGUAAUGGGUAAAGAAGCACCGGCUAACUACGUGCCAGCAGCCGCGGUGAUACGUAGGGUGCGAGCGUUGUCCGGAUUUAUUGGGCGUAAAGGGCUCGUAGGUGGUUGAUCGCGUCGGAAGUGUAAUCUUGGGGCUUAACCCUGAGCGUGCUUUCGAUACGGGUUGACUUGAGGAAGGUAGGGGAGAAUGGAAUUCCUGGUGGAGCGGUGGAAUGCGCAGAUAUCAGGAGGAACACCAGUGGCGAAGGCGGUUCUCUGGGCCUUUCCUGACGCUGAGGAGCGAAAGCGUGGGGAGCGAACAGGCUUAGAUACCCUGGUAGUCCACGCUGUAAACGGUGGGUACUAGGUGUGGGGUCCAUUCCACGGGUUCCGUGCCGUAGCUAACGCUUUAAGUACCCCGCCUGGGGAGUACGGCCGCAAGGCUAAAACUCAAAGGAAUUGACGGGGCCCCGCACAAGCGGCGGAGCAUGCGGAUUAAUUCGAUGCAACGCGUAGAACCUUACCUGGGUUUGACAUGGAUCGGGAGCGCUCAGAGAUGGGUGUGCCUCUUUUGGGGUCGGUUCACAGGUGGUGCAUGGCUGUCGUCAGCUCGUGUCGUGAGAUGUUGGGUUAAGUCCCGCAACGAGCGCAACCCUUGUUCACUGUUGCCAGCACGUUAUGGUGGGGACUCAGUGGAGACCGCCGGGGUCAACUCGGAGGAAGGUGGGGAUGACGUCAAGUCAUCAUGCCCCUCAUGUCCAGGGCUUCACGCAUGCUACAAUGGCUGGUACAGAGAGUGGCGAGCCUGUGAGGGUGAGCGAAUCUCGGAAAGCCGGUCUCAGUUCGGAUUGGGGUCUGCAACUCGACCUCAUGAAGUCGGAGUCGCUAAUAAUCGCAGAUCAGCAACGCUGCGGUGAAUACGUUCCCGGG
rnacentral:rRNA from 1 species